rnacentral:rRNA from 1 species
AUUGAACGCUGGCGGCAGGCCUAACACAUGCAAGUCGAGCGGGAACGAGUUAUCUGAACCUUCGGGGAACGAUAACGGCGUCGAGCGGCGGACGGGUGAGUAAUGCCUAGGAAAUUGCCCUGAUGUGGGGGAUAACCAUUGGAAACGAUGGCUAAUACCGCAUGAUGCCUACGGGCCAAAGAGGGGGACCUUCGGGCCUCUCGCGUCAGGAUAUGCCUAGGUGGGAUUAGCUAGUUGGUGAGGUAAGGGCUCACCAAGGCGACGAUCCCUAGCUGGUCUGAGAGGAUGAUCAGCCACACUGGAACUGAGACACGGUCCAGACUCCUACGGGAGGCAGCAGUGGGGAAUAUUGCACAAUGGGCGCAAGCCUGAUGCAGCCAUGCCGCGUGUAUGAAGAAGGCCUUCGGGUUGUAAAGUACUUUCAGUCGUGAGGAAGGUAGUGUAGUUAAUAGCUGCAUUAUUUGACGUUAGCGACAGAAGAAGCACCGGCUAACUCCGUGCCAGCAGCCGCGGUAAUACGGAGGGUGCGAGCGUUAAUCGGAAUUACUGGGCGUAAAGCGCAUGCAGGUGGUUUGUUAAGUCAGAUGUGAAAGCCCGGGGCUCAACCUCGGAAUAGCAUUUGAAAUUGGCAGACUAGAGUACUGUAGAGGGGGGUAGAAUUUCAGGUGUAGCGGUGAAAUGCGUAGAGAUCUGAAGGAAUACCGGUGGCGAAGGCGGCCCCCUGGACAGAUACUGACACUCAGAUGCGAAAGCGUGGGGAGCAAACAGG